UACGUAGGGCGCAAGCGUUGUCCGGAAUUAUUGGGCGUAAAGAGCUCGUAGGCGGCCUGUCGCGUCGGCUGUGAAAACCCGGGGCUCAACCCCGGGCCUGCAGUCGAUACGGGCAGGCUAGAGUCCGGCAGGGGAGACUGGAAUUCCUGGUGUAGCGGUGAAAUGCGCAGAUAUCAGGAGGAACACCGGUGGCGAAGGCGGGUCUCUGGGCCGGAACUGACGCUGAGGAGCGAAAAGCGUGGGGGAGCGAACAGG
rnacentral:rRNA from 1 species